GGUUCAGGAUGAACGCUAGCUACAGGCUUAACACAUGCAAGUCGAGGGGCAGCAUGGUCUUAGCUUGCUAAGAUUGAUGGCGACCGGCGCACGGGUGAGUAACGCGUAUCCAACCUUCCCUAUAGUAGGGGAUAGCCCGUAGAAAUGCGGAUUAAUACCCUAUGUUGUAUUUUGAGGACAUCUGACGAAUACCAAAGGUUCACCGCUAUAGGAUGGGGAUGCGUCUGAUUAGGUAGUCGGCGGGGUAACGGCCCACCGAGCCAACGAUCAGUAGGGGUUCUGAGAGGAAGGUCCCCCACAUUGGAACUGAGACACGGUCCAAACUCCUACGGGAGGCAGCAGUGAGGAAUAUUGGUCAAUGGGCGAGAGCCUGAACCAGCCAAGUAGCGUGCAGGAUGACGGCCCUAUGGGUUGUAAACUGCUUUUAUGCGGGGAUAAAGUGAGGGACGUGUCCCUUAUUGUAGGUACCGCAUGAAUAAGGACCGGCUAAUUCCGUGCCAGCAGCGGC
rnacentral:rRNA from 1 species